rnacentral:rRNA from 1 species
AGAGUUUGAUCCUGGCUCAGGAUGAACGCUAGCGGCAGGCCUAACACAUGCAAGUCGAGGGGUAGAACACUUCGGUGUUUGAGACCGGCGCACGGGUGCGUAACGCGUAUGCAAUCUACCUUGUACAGGGGAAUAGCCCAGAGAAAUUUGGAUUAAUGCCCCAUAGUAUAUAACCUUCGCAUGUUGGUUAUAUUAAAGUUCCAACGGUACAAGAUGAGCAUGCGUCCCAUUAGUUAGUUGGUAAGGUAACGGCUUACCAAGACGAUGAUGGGUAGGGGUCCUGAGAGGGAGAUCCCCCACACUGGUACUGAGACACGGACCAGACUCCUACGGGAGGCAGCAGUGAGGAAUAUUGGUCAAUGGGCGAGAGCCUGAACCAGCCAAGUAGCGUGAAGGAUGACUGCCCUAUGGGUUGUAAACUUCUUUUAUACGGGAAUAAAGUGAGCCACGUGUGGCUUUUUGUAUGUACCGUAUGAAUAAGGAUCGGCUAACUCCGUGCCAGCAGCCGCGGUAAUACGGAGGAUCCAAGCGUUAUCCGGAAUCAUUGGGUUUAAAGGGUCCGUAGGCGGUCUUAUAAGUCAGUGGUGAAAGCCCAUCGCUCAACGAUGGAACUGCCAUUGAUACUGUAAGACUUGAAUGCUUAGGAAGUAACUAGAAUAUGUAGUGUAGCGGUGAAAUGCUUAGAUAUUACAUGGAAUACCAAUUGCGAAGGCAGGUUACUACUAAGUGAUUGACGCUGAUGGACGAAAGCGUGGGGAGCGAACAGGAUUAGAUACCCUGGUAGUCCACGCCGUAAACGAUGCUAACUCGUUUUUGGAGCGCAAGCUUCAGAGACCAAGCGAAAGUGAUAAGUUAGCCACCUGGGGAGUACGUUCGCAAGAAUGAAACUCAAAGGAAUUGACGGGGGCCCG